rnacentral:lncRNA from 1 species
CCUCAACCCACCACCACCAGAGCCGUCACCUAGCGUCGACCGGCAACUCUGCCAACACCGGCCGCUUGUGACCAUUUUUUUGUUUUCUUUCUCUCUUCCCCUCCCCUCUCCCCCUUUCUCCACUAUCCCUCCCCUUCCACCAGAUUGACAUAGGGAAGAGGAGGGUGGCGGGAGAAGGGAGAGGGGGGAUGAGAUGGCGGGGAGAAUGGGGAAAAUGGGAGAUGGGAGGGGAGGAGAAGAGGGAGGAAGGAGGAAGGAGGAGAAGAACAG